GGUUUAAGAGGCCUAAUGGUUAGAGCAUCCAUCUCAGGUGCGGGGGGUCGCGGGUUCGAACCCUGUCCAAGUCA